GACUCUCGACAACGGAUAUCUCGGCUCUCGCAUCGAUGAAGAACGUAGCGAAAUGCGAUACUUGGUGUGAAUUGCAGGAUCCCGUGAACCAUCGAGUCUUUGAACGCAAGUUGCGCCCGAAGCCACUAGGCCGAGGGCAUGCCUGCCUGGGUGUCACGC
rnacentral:rRNA from 1 species